UUUCUUCAGCAGAAGAAUGGAUUCCCUGAAACCUUUGGCUGCAGAAGGCAACGAAGGAGAAAAGGCUAAAAGAGUUACAGAUCCACUCUUCAUUACUCUGGAUGUGUCACAUUUGCUAGUAUGACAAGACAUAUUAUGGACUAGGAAUUUUACAGAAGGAGAGAGAAAUCUAUAAAACACCAAUCUCUUCAUGGAAACAUCUUUCAUUAAAAAUUUCCUCAUGUCCGAGAGAGAAUUAUUGUUUGCAUUCAGAGACGCUGAUCUACCUUUGAUAAGUACUCGCCUUAUAUGUGGGAGACAUCCCUUGGUCUGAAUAAGACAGAAUAGAGAUUUCAGCUUUGGUCUUCUAUAACCCAAGGUGUAUGGCUAAUCAAGGAAGUGGUCUCUCACUGACACACUGAGAAGAAUGAAGUUAGUUCCUCUGUAAUUGAAAGUAUCAGUAGUAAACUUGGCUGGAGCUUGAUUAAUAGUAUAUUAAAAUUAGAGUGUUCAUGGUGAGUGCUGGAUAAGGAGUUUUGGGCAAAUUACUUGGUUACUGGGAAACCUUUAAAUUUUAAUCAUGGAGACACUUGAGCAUCAUUAGGAACUGAAAAGACAAUGGGCACUGGUAGGAAGUUAUGUGAAUUGAUGUGCUUUUCAAUCUCUUCUAUGGUGAUAUUGAGAGUGAUGCAUGGGCUGCAAUUGAGAAUCCUCUUGCUCCCCAUGUCUUUGAUUGCUGUUGUUAUAAUUUAAUAUUACAGUUUCUUAUGAUCAUGGAAAUGAGGUAAGUUGCAGAAAAAAGCACUGAAGAUUUUAGUCCUACAAAAAUUAUUUUAAAGUUGAUGGUUGUCUGUACUCUCUGGUUGGAUAACUGUUCCUAAUAGCAUCAGACCUGAAGGAUACCUAAAUCUGUUCAAAGUACUGGCAAACACAGAAAAAUAUACUCUUCUACAAAUACUAUCUACUAAUAUUAAUAAUGUACUAAUAUAGAGACUUUUAUGUGAAUUCUGUUUAUAUUUAUUGUAUGUAUAUGUAUCCUGGUAAGUGUGU